AGAUUGAACGCUGGCGGCAGGCCUAACACAUGCAAGUCGAGCGGUAGAGAGGUGCUUGCACCUCUUGAGAGCGGCGGACGGGUGAGUAAUGCCUAGGAAUCUGCCUAGUGGUGGGGGAUAACGUUCGGAAACGGACGCUAAUACCGCAUACGUCCUACGGGAGAAAGCGGGGGACCUUCGGGCCUCGCGCCAUUAGAUGAGCCUAGGUCGGAUUAGCUAGUUGGUGA
rnacentral:rRNA from 1 species